CGGAGGAUCCAAGCGUUAUCCGGAUUUAUUGGGUUUAAAGGGUGCGUAGGCGGCUUAUUAAGUCAGGGGUGAAAGACGGUGGCUCAACCAUCGCAGUGCCCUUGAUACUGAUGAGCUUGAAUGAACUAGAGGUAGGCGGAAUGUGACAAGUAGCGGUGAAAUGCAUAGAUAUGUCACAGAACACCGAUUGCGAAGGCAGCUUACUAUGGUUUUAUUGACGCUGAGGCACGAAAGCGUGGGGAUCAAACAGGAUUAGAUACCCUGGUAGUCCACGCCCUAAGCGAUGAAUACUCGCUGUUAGCGAUAUACAGUUAGCGGCUAAGCGAAAGCGUUAAGUAUUCCACCUGGGGAGUACGCCCGCAAGGGUG
rnacentral:rRNA from 1 species